CGGGCGCGGCGAACGAUCUAAGUUCCUUGGAACGGGGCGUCAUAGAGGGUGAGAAUCCCGUAUGUGAUCGGCGACUAAGCCCAUGUGAAACUCCUUCGACGAGUCGAGUUGUUUGGGAAUGCAGCUCAAAAUGGGUGGUAAAUUUCAUCUAAAGCUAAAUACCGGCCAGAGACCGAUAGCGCACAAGUAGAGUGAUCGAAAGAUGAAAAGCACUUUGGAAAGAGAGUCAAAAAGUACGUGAAAUUGUUGAAAGGGAAGCGCUUGCAACCAGACCUGCCCGCGGGCGAUCAACCGUCCCCCGGGGGCGGUGCACUCGAACCGCGAUCAGGCCAGCAUCGGUUGGGGCGGCCGGAUAAAGGCCUCGGGAACGUGGCUCCUUUCGGGGAGUGUUAUAGCCCUUGGCGCAAUGCGGCCCGCCUGGACCGAGGACCGCGCUUCGGCUAGGAUGCUGGCGUAAUGGUUGUAAGCGGCCCGUCUUGAAACACGGACCAAGGAGUCUAACAUCUAUGCGAGUGUUUGGGUGUCAAACCCAUACGCGUAAUGAAAGUGAACGGAGGUGGGAACCCGCGAGGGCGCACCAUCGACCGAUCCAGAUGUCUUCGGAUGGAUUUGAGUACGAGCAUAGCUGUUGGGACCCGAAAGAUGGUGAACUAUGCCAGAAUAGGGUGAAGCCAGAGGAAACUCUGGU
rnacentral:rRNA from 1 species